AGAGUUUGAUCCUGGCUCAGGACGAACGCUGGCGGCGUGCUUAACACAUGCAAGUCGAACGAUGAAGUGGAGCUUGCUCCACGGAUUAGUGGCGAACGGGUGAGGAACACGUGAGAAGCCUGCCUCGGAUUUUGGGAUAACAAAUGGAAACGUUUGCUAAUACCAAAUAACGUCGGAGAGUCACAUGACUUUCUGACGAAAGGAAUUCCGAUUCGAGAGGGUCUCGCGGCCUAUCAGCUUGUUGGCGGGGUAACGGCCCACCAAGGCAACGACGGGUAGCUGGUCUGAGAGGAUGGUCAGCCACACUGGGACUGAGACACGGCCCAGACUCCUACGGGAGGCAGCAGUGGGGAAUCUUGCGCAAUGGGCGAAAGCCUGACGCAGCAACGCCGCGUGCGGGAAGAAGGCUUUCGGGCUGUAAACCGCUUUCAGCAGGAACGAAAAUGACGGUACCUGCAGAAGAAGGAGCGGCCAACUAUGUGCCAGCAGCCGCGGUGAUACAUAGGCUUCAAGCGUUGUCCGGAUUUAUUGGGCGUAAAGAGUUCGUAGGCGGUCGAGUAAGUCGGGUGUGAAAAUUCUGGGCUCAACCCAGAGACGCCACCCGAUACUGCUUAACUUGAGUUCGAUAGGGGAGUGGGGAAUUCCUAGUGUAGCGGUGAAAUGCGCAGAUAUUAGGAGGAACACCGGUGGCGAAGGCGCCACUCUGGAUCGACACUGACGCUGAGGAACGAAAGCAUGGGUAGCAAACAGGAUUAGAUACCCUGGUAGUCCACGCCCUAAACGAUGUCAACUGGUUGUUGGGUGCAUUAGUAC
rnacentral:rRNA from 1 species